rnacentral:tRNA from 1 species
GCGUCAUUAGCUCAGUUGGUAGAGCAUAACCUUGCCAAGGUUAGGGUCGCGAGUUCGAGUCUCGUUUCCCGCUCCA